rnacentral:rRNA from 1 species
UACGGAGGAUCCAAGCGUUAUCCGGAUUUAUUGGGUUUAAAGGGUGCGUAGGCGGCUUUAUAAGUCAUUGGUGAAAGCUCGCAGCUUAACUGUGAAACUGCCAUUGAAACUGUUUAGCUUGAAUGUGGUUGAAGUGGGCGGAAUACAACAUGUAGCGGUGAAAUGCUUAGAUAUGUUGUAGAACACCGAUUGCGAAGGCAGCUCACUAAGCCAAUAUUGACGCUGAGGCACGAAAGCGUGGGUAGCAAACAGG